rnacentral:rRNA from 1 species
CCGGUACUGACGCUCAGGCACGAAAGCGUGGGGAUCAAACAGGAUUAGAUACCCUGGUAGUCCACGCAGUAAACGAUGAUGACUUGUUGUCGGCGAUAGAAUGUCGGUGACAAAGCGAAAGCGAUAAGUCAUCCACCUGGGGAGUACGAUCGCAAGGUUGAAACUCAAAGGAAUUGACGGGGGCCCGCACAAGCGGAGGAGCAUGUGGUUUAAUUCGAUGAUACGCGAGGAACCUUACCUGGACUCAAAUGUUGGAUGACCGGUGCAGAAAUGCGCCUUUCCUUCGGGACAUCCAGCAAGGUGCUGCAUGGUUGUCGUCAGCUCGUGCCGUGAGGUGUCAGGUUAAGUCCUAUAACGAGCGCAACCCCUACGUCCAGUUGCCGGCGGGUAAAGCCGGGGACUCUGGAGGGACUGCCGGCGCAAGCCGAGAGGAAGGUGGGGAUGACGUCAAAUCAGCACGGCCCUUACGUCCAGGGCGACACACGUGCUACAAUGGCCGGUACAGAGGGCAGCCACCCCGCGAGGGGGAGCGAAUCUCGAAAGCCGGUCUCAGUUCGGAUCGGAGUCUGCAACUCGACUCCGUGAAGUUGGAUCGCUAGUA